rnacentral:rRNA from 1 species
CCUACGGGAGGCUGCAGUGGGGAAUAUUGCACAAUGGGCGCAAGCCUGAUGCAGCCAUGCCGCGUGUGUGAAGAAGGCCUUCGGGUUGUAAAGCACUUUCAGCGGGGAGGAAGGCGUUAAGGUUAAUAACCUUGGCGAUUGACGUUACCCGCAGAAGAAGCACCGGCUAACUCCGUGACAGCAGCCGCGGUAAUACGGAGGGUGCAAGCGUUAAUCGGAAUUACUGGGCGUAAAGCGCACGCAGGCGGUCUGUCAAGUCGGAUGUGAAAUCCCCGGGCUCAACCUGGGAACUGCAUUCGAAACUGGCAGGCUAGAGUCUUGUAGAGGGGGGUAGAAUUCCAGGUGUAGCGGUGAAAUGCGUAGAGAUCUGGAGGAAUACCGGUGGCGAAGGCGGCCCCCUAGACAAAGACUGACGCUCAGGUGCGAAAGCGUGGGGAGCAAACAGGAUUAGAUACCCGGGUAGUC